GGGCCCGCACAAGCGGUGGAGCAUGUGGUUUAAUUCGAUGAUACGCGAGGAACCUUACCAGGGCUUAAAUGUAGUCUGACAGGGGUGGAAACACCCCCUCCUUCGGGCAGAUUACAAGGUGCUGCAUGGUUGUCGUCAGCUCGUGCCGUGAGGUGUCAGGUUAAGUCCUAUAACGAGCGCAACCCCUGCCGUUAGUUGCCAGCAUGUAAUGAUGGGAACUCUAACGGGACUGCCGGUGCAAACCGCGAGGAAGGUGGGGAUGACGUCAAAUCAUCACGGCCCUUACGUCCUGGGCUACACACGUGCUACAAUGGCCGGUACAGAGGGCAGCCACACCGCAAGGUGGAGCGAAUCCUUAAAACCGGUCUCAGUUCGGAUCGGGGUCUGCAACUCGGCCCCGUGAAGCUGGAAUCGCUAGUAAUCGCAGGUC
rnacentral:rRNA from 1 species